AGCGAACGCUGGCGGCAGGCCUAAUACAUGCAAGUCGAGCGCACCUUCGGGUGAGCGGCGGACGGGUGAGUAACGCGUGGGAACGUGCCCUUUGGUACGGGAUAACUGAGGGAAACUUCAGCUAAUACCGUAUGUGCCCUACGGGGGAAAGAUUUAUCGCCAUUGGAGCGGCCCGCGUUGGAUUAGCUAGUUGGUGGGGUAAAGGCUCACCAAGGCUACGAGCCAUAGCUGGUUUGAGAGGAUGAUCAGCCACACUGGGACUGAGACACGGCCCAGACUCCUACGGGAGGCAGCAGUAGGGAAUCUUGCGCAAUGGGCGAAAGCCUGACGCAGCCAUGCCGCGUGAAUGAUGAAGGUCUUAGGAUUGUAAAAUUCUUUCACCGGGGAAGAUAAUGACGGUACCCGGAGAAGAAGCCCCGGCUAACUUCGUGCCAGCCGCCGCAGUAACAC
rnacentral:rRNA from 1 species